rnacentral:rRNA from 1 species
GACGGAGGGUGCAAGCGUUAUUCGGAAUCAUUGGGCGUAAAGGGCGUGCAGGCGGCCGAUCAAGUCAGAGGUGAAAGCCCGGGGCUUAACUCCGGAAGUGCCUCUGAUACUGGUCGGCUUGAGUCCGGGAGAGGGAAGCGGAAUUCCGGGUGUAGAGGUGAAAUUCGUAGAUAUCCGGAGGAACACCGGUGGCGAAGGCGGCUUCCUGGACCGAGACUGACGCUGAGACGCGAAAGCGUGGGGAG